CCUACGGGGGGCUGCAGUGGGGAAUAUUGCACAAUGGGCGCAAGCCUGAUCCAGCAACGCCGCGUGAAUGAAGACGGUUUUCGGAUUGUACACUUCUAUCAAUAGGGAAGAAAGAAAUGACGGUACCUAAAUAAGAAGCCCCGGCUAACUACGUACCAGCAGCCGCGGUAAUACGUAGGGGGCAAGCGUUAUCCGGAAUUACUGGUUGUAAAGGGAGCGUAGGCGGCAAGGUAAGCGAUAUGUGAAAGCCUUAAGCUUAACUUAAGGAUUGCAUAACGAACUAUCUAGCUAGAGUACAGGAGAGGAAAGCGGAAUUCCUAGUGUAGCGGUGAAAUGCGUAGAUAUUAGGAAGAACACCAGUGGCGAAGGCGGCUUUCUGGACUGAAACUGACGCUGAGGCUCGAAAGCGUGGGGAGCGAACAGGAUUAGAUACCCUUGUAGUC
rnacentral:rRNA from 1 species